rnacentral:siRNA from 1 species
ACCUGUACUUUCGGUUCUCCGUUC